rnacentral:rRNA from 1 species
ACUCCUACGGGAGGCAGCAGUGGGGAAUAUUGCACAAUGGGCGCAAGCCUGAUGCAGCCAUGCCGCGUGUAUGAAGAAGGCCUUCGGGUUGUAAAGUACUUUCAGCAGUGAGGAAGGUGGAUAUGUUAAUAGCAUAUUCAUUUGACGUUAGCUGCAGAAGAAGCACCGGCUAACUCCGUGCCAGCAGCCGCGGUAAUACGGAGGGUGCGAGCGUUAAUCGGAAUUACUGGGCGUAAAGCGCAUGCAGGUGGUUUGUUAAGUCAGAUGUGAAAGCCCGGGGCUCAACCUCGGAAUUGCAUUUGAAACUGGCAAACUAGAGUACUGUAGAGGGGGUAGAAAGUUUCAGGUGUAGCGGUGAAAUGCGUAGAGAUCUGAAGGAAUACCGGUGGCGAAGGCGGCCCCCUGGACAGAUACUGACACUCAGAUGCG